AUUGAACGCUGGCGGCAUGCUUUACACAUGCAAGUCGAACGGCAGCACGGGCUUCGGCCUGGUGGCGAGUGGCGAACGGGUGAGUAAUGCAUCGGAACGUGCCCAUUUGUGGGGGAUAACUACGCGAAAGCGUGGCUAAUACCGCAUACGCCCUGAGGGGGAAANCGGGGGAUUCUUCGGAACCUCGCGCAAUUGGAGCGGCCGAUGUCAGAUUUAGCUUGUUGGUGAGGUAAAGGCUCACCAAGGCGACGAUCUGUAGCGGGUCUGAGAGGAUGAUCCGCCACACUGGGACUGAGACACGGCCCAGACUCCUACGGGAGGCAGCAGUGGGGAAUUUUGGACAAUGGGGGCAACCCUGAUCCAGCCAUGCCGCGUGAGUGAAGAAGGCCUUCGGGUUGUAAAGCUCUUUCA
rnacentral:rRNA from 1 species